rnacentral:rRNA from 1 species
AUUGAACGCUGGCGGCAGGCCUAACACAUGCAAGUCGAACGAGUGGCGGACUGGUGAGUAAUGUCUGGGUAACUGCCUGAUGGAGGGGGAUAACUACUGGAAACGGUAGCUAAUACUGCCUACCAUCAGCUGUGCCCUGAUGGGCUUAGCUAGUUGGUGGGGUAACGGCUCACCAAGGCGACGAUCCCUAGCUGGUCUGAGAGGAUGACUGGCCACACUGGAACAGGGACACGGUCCAGACUCCUACGGGAGGAAGCAGUGGGGAAUAUUGCAAAAUGGGCGAAAGCCUGAUGCAGCCAUGCCGCGUGAAUGAAGAAGGCCUUCGGGUUGUAAAGUACUUUCAGCGGGGAGGCGUUACCCGCAGAAGAAGCACCGGCUAACUCCGUGCCAGCAGCCGCGGUAAUAC